GACAUCUAUUCUCGACACACGUACACAGAGCCAUUUCAAAUAGAAGAUAAAAACGUAUUUGCUUAGUUGUUAACAAGUGGAAUCUCGUUAUCGUGCAGAUGUUCCAGAAUAAUUUUCGCCAAUAAAAAAGAGAGAAGGUGGUAAUUCGUGAAGUGUAAUCGUUGACCUCGAUCGAUUUCGGAGCGGGUUCGAGGAGAUCAAUGGCGAUAAGUUAACGGUGUUAUCCGAAGAUCCUUAUCUCUCAGGAAUCUCGCGAUCGACUGGCAGCGAGCCGAUGAACGAUAAGGACAUUGCUAAUUGCUCGUCGUUGCUUUUAAUUGCUCGCGGACACGUUAUAUUAACUGCCAAGCGUAACGGUAACGAUUACGGUAGCCAGAGAUCGAAAUGUUCCAAUUAUUCAUCAAUAAUUUUUCUUUUUCAAUUUAUUUAUCACUGUAAGUAACUUGAUGAUUAAUAUAUGAAAAUUUUAUAGAUUGUACAAUAAUAACAAAUAUCUCUCUCUUGCUGUAAUUAUGGAGAUUGUAAAAGUUAGAUUAGGUUAUAUCGUUUUGAGGUUAUAUAUUACACAGAGUUGGACACUAACCCGUUGAAAAAAUAACUAGUUAACAAUUUCGAAUGAACUUUAAAUAUUUAUUUAAAUAAUUUUAAGUAAAAUGGUAAAUAACAUUUAUUCGUAGCUAUUAUAGUUGUUUGAUUCGCUCUUCAUAUAAUCGUAGUCGUUUGAUAAUACAAUUAUUUGCAAUUAUUCGAUAAAUAAUAAAUUAUUAAACUAACUAUAUUCUUAACUUUAAUUUUAUUAAAAUUUUGCCCAUUUUUGUUCGUAAAAUACGUUAGAAAUUCGUUCGUAUAAUACAUUAGAAAUUCGUUCGUAUAAUACGGAGAAAUAAUUUUCGAGAGGUUAAAAUAAUCGUAGAGUUCAACAAAUUUCAACUGUUUAUAACUCAAUAACUAAGCUUUAAUUUUUGUAUAUCAACUUUUAUGUUUGCUUUGGCCUCAAGAAUUGAUUCCAGAGUUUCACAAAUACAUUAACACCUCAUGUAUUUGUAGAGAUUCAUUCUAAUCAAGCUUCGAUUGCAAUCUGAUCUUCGUUGUGAAAUUGACAAUAACAAGUUGAAGAAUGUUCAUAUAUUAAUCAGAUAGCUGGAUCAGAUAGAUUAAGAUAAGAAAGUGUGGAAUCGAGUUAAUGGUUGCACAAAGCGAAAUUAUCAUUAUCAUAACAAAUUAUCGUUUGGCAUUAACUCUAUUAUAAACAAUUUUAAUUCCUUUUCUGAUAAUUAUUAAGUAGACGUCGAAUCGUCGAGUUGGAUAACAGUAACCAACGUCUCGUUUAGAAAAUUUUAGUGAAAAUUCCAGGGGAUUAAUUAUUCCAGAGGAGCAGGGCCGUGCACGUCGCCCCUGGGCCCCCUCACGUGGACAGCCGGUUAUAAAUGGUCGGUCGUAAAAGUUGUGCGUGUCGUUGCGAGACGGAGGGAACAAGAAGGAACAUUCGAUGAGAGACGAGGGUUCGAAACACUCCGUGCACUGCAUUAUGGUAGGCAAAAAAGCGCGGGAGAUGCACCAGCCGCUUGCAAAGAAGAAACUGUUUCGGUAGUCGGUGAACAAUCGAUUAUAUUCGAGGAUUCUUCGUCGAAAACUAGAGAAAGAUUUUUCGAUACGAAUUAAUUUUCUCGAAAAUUGAAAUUGAAAAUACAGCGGAAUACGGGAUGAAAAAUAGGACGAAUCCACGAACAUCGAUUUUCUUACAAAGAGAUUUCUAGACGAUCACGAUCCAGAUCUGUAUAAUGCGAUUCGCCCGGGUUCCGUUCUGAUACAUUAUGUAACCUUCGAGAAGGGUUACAGAAUGCUUUCGUUUUCAUGAAUACCGCAUCUAUGAUCAGCAGGCCAGGUUUUUAAGACGGACGCCGUGUUAAUCCUUCGACCUGAUCACCUGAUACGAAAACUCUUAGUCAUCGUGGGGAACGGAGAAAGAAAGUAAAAGAAAGAGAUGCGCGAGGAAACAGCCGUGACAAUGAUGCAUCGAGCAGAGAUUUCUUUCGAUCCUCGAAAUAGAUUUAUUCGAGGAUACGAUUUGAAAUUCAUAAACCACUGUGAAGAAUAAUUUCUCCACUCUGAAAAAAUUAUAUGUAAUAAAAAAAAAUUUGGAAAAUUAAUUCUUUCGAAAUUAAAAUUUCUUUCAAAAAUGAAAAA